rnacentral:lncRNA from 1 species
GAGCACAUGGUAGGCGAUAGGGAGGUUAUAGCGCUUGUGUGAAGCUAUGAGGGUAAUGUCCGAUAGUUCUGGUAAGUAAAGAGUUUAGCCUAUUGGACGUGGGUGCCCAGUAGUGGUCCUGUUGCAUAAGUAAGUAGGUUGAGAGUAGCUAGUUUCAAUCUUAUUAGUAGUGGUAGAUAGGUCGGGUGCCCCAACAAAGGAUUUCUAGUAGUGUCUUGGCGGAACAGGUAAUGAUUCUGCUUUAGUGUCAUUCUUCUUAGUAGUGGUAGAUAGGUCGGGUUGAAUCCCCAACUAGUAGUUGUCUAGUCCCACAACAAGUAGUUUCGUAGUUUCAUCAGUGAUAGUUUCGGUUUGAUACGAGGUAAAGUACUUGCUUUGUUGCGAGGUGUGGUCCACAGAAUGGAGUUUCUUACUAUUCUACCAGUCCUUUUCAGCACUAACUUAGCCACUUAUAUAUCUGCGAAUCUUCAAACAAGCCCCAAGCCGGGAGUGAUAG